rnacentral:rRNA from 1 species
CGUACACUCCUGCGGGAGGCAGCAGUGGGGAAUAUUGGACAAUGGGCGCAAGCCUGAUCCAGCCAUGCCGCGUGAGUGAUGAAGGCCCUAGGGUUGUAAAGCUCUUUCACCGGUGAAGAUAAUGACGGUAACCGGAGAAGAAGCCCCGGCUAACUUCGUGCCAGCCGCCGCGGUAAUACGAAGGGGGCUAGCGUUGUUCGGAUUUACUGGGCGUAAAGCGCACGUAGGCGGACUAUUAAGUCAGGGGUGAAAUCCCGGGGCUCAACCCCGGAACUGCCUUUGAUACUGGUAGUCUUGAGUUCGAGAGAGGUGAGUGGAAUUCCGAGUGUAGAGGUGAAAUUCGUAGAUAUUCGGAGGAACACCAGUGGCGAAGGCGGCUCACUGGCUCGAUACUGACGCUGAGGUGCGAAAGCGUGGGGAGCAAACAGGAUUAGAAACCCGUGUAGUCCC